ensembl:lncRNA
GGGGAGGGGAGGAGGACGGUCCCUUACAGGGAGGGGUCACACACGGGGGUCAGCACCAGGUGAGCAGGCUCCGACACGGGGCAGAACAUUGUUGUCGUCUGGCGGGGGGAAAUAUCAACGGAUUAGUCCAUGUUGGGGAAACAAGGCGUUGAGACAACACACACACACACAGACAUAGAACAGCUGUUCCACAACCAACUGCAUGUAGGUGAGCAGUAAUCCAUGACCAGUGAGUGCUCCACCUCAACCCUCCCUCCACCUCCCUCCCCCCUCCCCAUCCUCGAGCUCCCCUGAGAGGACCUCCUCCUACUCCAGCCCGCGCGCUGCUCGCUGCAUGACGGAGCAGAUGUUCCGCCCUAAGAUCCGUGACUCGAACCUUCUCCACUAUGGAUUUAAACCUGAAGGUUGGAUGCGGUAGCGGAGCAGAACGCAUUGAAGCUGUCAGCUCCAUGGAGGCUGGAGCUGGAGACGGAUAUUCUGGGAUACGCACAAUGAAUUGAAUUCUGUAGAUUAGAAUGUACAGUUUGUUUGAGGCGUUCUGGACAUGCACGCAGCCACCUGCUUACAGGCUGCUAACAUGAAGCGAUAUUACAUUAAUAUGGUAAUCGGUAUCUUGGUAGCUGGAGGCUGCGUUGUGAAUCUCAGCCAUCCAGACAUAAACAUGUUGUUACUAUCUUUUUCUAUUCACUGGUCACCUAAGCAUCGAUUACUAGCUACUUUGAUCUAGUCGGAACAUCCCGAAAUAAAUACUUACCAACUUUUUAGUGUCGUGGAGAUGUGUAAAGGAGAGAUGAUAGACAAAUCAGUGUUUCUGUGGUAUACAUUGUGCAUAGAAAUUCUUACAUAUUGUUGAAUUAAUAGUCAAUUUGGACACACAGUCUAAAUUACGUGUUAAAGGUUGCAAUAAGAGUUUAGUUUUUUAUUGUGUUAUUUUAUGCACAACUUUUGCGCCAAACAUAUUUGAUUUAGCACUUUAUUUUUACGUGU